rnacentral:piRNA from 1 species
UCCUCACACACCAGUACAUGGGCGGGCUGG